UGUUCGUCGCCUGUGCUCGCGUGACGCCUUGACGAGCCGAAACGGCCGCGCCGCCGCCGCUCUACGCUGCACAUACACCUCGCCCCUCUAGCGAUCAGCCUCCAUCUGCACUGCGCACGCCGGCCGGCCGGCCUGCCACCCUCAAGGAAGAAGCCGUACUAAUCAAUUAUUCAAUCAAGAUAAGCCCUAGCUUGAAGGCUAGAAAUCAGGACGUACCAACAAAAAGGAACGGCAUAGUCAAGUUAUUGUGCCUUAACUGAGACACCUGGCGAUGUAUCAUAAUAUGUCCUGCAAAAUAAAGGAGCGCUGAGGAUGAUGGCUUUCAUGUUGGUUUGGAUGAUGCUGGUUCGGUAGUGUGGCUUCUAAUAUGUCAGGUAAGAUCUUGGGGUAUCAUAUUCGCUGAUUCUCCACAUUGCAGGAUUCGUCCUGUGUUCCGUUAGGUGUGAUGUGUGUUGUCUGUGUGGAUAUGUUGUGGCCGCGGGCCAUGCGUGUGCUUGUGACAGCCUGCUAGGUAAUAUUUAUGGUCAUGGUGCAGUAUUCAAAAUUUGGUGCUAGAUCGUACGUCAAUACUUCAUAUGAUGUGGUGCAAAUGUUAAUUGGGAAUUCAGUCGUCUUUUAUCUAAUAUAUAUUUGCAUAUAAAUGGUGCAUCAAAUAGCCUCAUAAAUCUGAAAUGAAUAUAUGUUACAGGAGCCUUACUCUUAUAUAUAGUUGUCAUGAGGUGAAUGGGGUGUGAUUAUCAUGAUCAUAUGAUAUUAUAUAGGUACAUACUAUUUUUUUGUUUAUAUCUCUAGGAUUUGUAUUCAUCGAUUCUUGUUAGUAGUCAUUUGUGACUAGAAAUGUUUUUGAAAUUUUGGGAAAUUAGACAUGAUCAUUCUGACAAUGAAUGAAUAAAAACAUAUACUCAAUCUUAGCGAGUCCAUGGGCAAUAUAGUACCCAUUUCUUGCCUGGCACACAGUUGGAAGGAUAUUUCCAUCCUUGCCUUCCAUUCUUUGCUACAGAAGCCAUGAGUUGAGUUUUGAUUUUGAAUCUUGUCAAGUUCAGUUCAGAUUUAAUUAUACUUCCUCUGUACUAUUUUUGUUGUUAAUAUUAAAAAAAUUGUCAUGAGUUUUUGAAAGCCAUGAGUGUUUUGGGAUUGUUAAGGGUCGUCAACAAAUAUUUUAUUAUACACUUGUAUAGGAUUAUUCAACACUAACACUUGUAACAUUUUAACUCUUUAUGAUACCCAUGUGGCAAUGGGGAGAGAAACAAUGAAAUCCUUGUUGAGAGCCUACAAUUCCUAAGAAGGUGGUUUUCUGGUUACCAUGAUUUUACAUAGCAUCACUCCUUAUUACAUAGAUAGAGAUGUUAUUUAUGUGUUUUCCACCAAAAGAUUUUGAGAUUGACACUGGUCAAGUUCCACUUUGUUGCUUCUUGUGUUAUUAUGUAUACUAAGAAGUGAAAUUUAUUUUAUGCAUGUCUUACUUUUGAAAUGGAGAGCCAUUUGUUUGGCCUACAGAACAAGUGCAUGAAAUUGAGAGCCAGUUGUUUGGACUGCAACACAAGUGCAUGAUUAUGUGUUUGAAAUUCAAAGUGUAAGUGGUUAGAGGUGGAAGGAGUGAUUUGAGAGCCGGAUGCACCAUUGAAAAAUGUGUCGAUCUUGGGUCCGAGAGGUGGAGAGGCAAAGAUAAUGAGUGGAGGAAUAGAAGAAGAAGAAUGUGGUCCUGAAAGAAGAAGAUGAAGAGGAAGAGGAAGAGAGAGAGUAGUAGAGAGAAAGUGAGAGGGAUUGAGGGGUCGAUGCCGUUGAUUGCCUAAUGUUGCUGCUAAUUAUACCCGCUGAUUAUAAGGAGGUGUCAUGGCAGUUUAUAUAGGGGUUGAUUGCCUAAGGUUGUUGCUGAUUACUGAUUUUGUAUAGUAAUCGUUGAUUGCUAGAGAGAUAAAAAUGUGUGUGUGCACUGAUUGCGAUAGCUAUAUGCCACUAG